UCAUAUUCAAAGUUCAAACCUCUCUCACAGCUUAAUUGUUUUUGGAUAAUAACUCUCAUUCUAAACUCAUGCACAGCCAAAAAUCUCUUUAGAGAAUAUAUAAAUAAUUAUAGUGUUUUCUGACGAUAUUCCGGCCAACUUCUGGUCAAUUUUUUUUUAAAGUAUUUGAGGAGUAUCAUAUUCAAAGUUCAAACGUCUCUCACAGGUCAAUUGUUUUUGGAUAAUAACUCUCAUUCUAAACUCAUGCACAGCAAAAUAUCUCUUCAUAGAAUAUAUAAAUAAUUAUGGUGUUUUGGGUCCUCCAUUACCCUCCAGUUUGAGUUAAGCGACUGAUGUUCACAGUUAAUCAUAGAGUUAAGAAUCUUAAGUUUAAUUUACGCAUUCACUUUAUUGUCAUGAUAUUUUGUACAACUAAAAUCUCCUUCCC
rnacentral:lncRNA from 1 species